GGCUCCUUGUAUUAUAUUAAAUAAGGAGUCGGACCUGCCCAGUGAAAACUUAAACGGCCGCGGUACUCUGACCGUGCAAAGGUAGCAUAAUCAUUUGCCUUAUAAUUGAAGGCUAGUAUGAAUGGUUUGACAAGAAUAUAGCUGUCUCUUUUUGAUUUUAUAGAAUUUUAUUUAAAGGUGAAGAAGCCUUUAUCUAAUUAAAAGACAAGAAGACCCUAUCGAGCUUAAAAAUAAUAAAUGGACUUAAAUAUCUUAAUAGAAUUAGAAGGAUAUCCAUUAACAAUUUUAGUUGGGGCGACUAAGGAACAUAGAAAGCUUCCUUUAAAAAUCUUAAUAACUACAAUUACUUGAUCCAAAAGUUUUGAUUAGAGGAAUUAGUUACCGUAGGGAUAACAGCAUUAUCUCCUUUAAGAGUUCUUAUCGAAAAGGGGGUUUGUGACCUCGAUGUUGGACCAGAAUAUCCUAAAGAUGCAGCAGUCUUUAAGGGUUGGUCUGUUCGACCAUUAAAAUUCUACG
rnacentral:rRNA from 1 species